GUGUCAGCCGCCGCGGUAAUACGUAGGGGGCAAGCGUUGUCCGGAAUUAUUGGGCGUAAAGCGCGUGUAGGCGGCUCGGUAAGUCUGCUGUGAAAGUCCAAGGCUCAACCUUGGAAAGCCGGUGGAUACUGUCGAGCUCGAGUCCGGAAGAGGCGAGUGGAAUUCCUGGUGUAGCGGUGAAAUGCGCAGAUAUCAGGAGGAACACCAAUGGCGAAGGCAGCUCGCUGGGACGGUACUGACGCUGAGACGCGAAAGCGUGGGGAGCAAACAGGAUUAGAAACCCCCGUAGUCC
rnacentral:rRNA from 1 species